AGUGAACGCUGGCGGUAGACCUAACACAUGCAAGUCGAACGGCAGCACAGUAAGAGCUUGCUCUUACGGGUGGCGAGUGGCGGACGGGUGAGGAAUACAUCGGAAUCUACUUUUUCGUGGGGGAUAACGUAGGGAAACUUACGCUAAUACCGCAUACGACCUACGGGUGAAAGCAGGGGAUCUUCGGACCUUGCGCGAUUGAAUGAGCCGAUGUCGGAUUAGCUAGUUGGCGGGGUAAAGGCCCACCAAGGCGACGAUCCGUAGCUGGUCUGAGAGGAUGAUCAGCCACACUGGAACUGAGACACGGUCCAGACUCCUACGGGAGGCAGCAGUGGGGAAUAUUGGACAAUGGGCGCGAGCCUGAUCCAGCCAUACCGCGUGGGUGAAGAAGGCCUUCGGGUUGUAAAGCCCUUUUGUUGGGAAAGAAAAGCAGCAGGUUAAUACCCCGCUGUUCUGACGGUACCCAAAGAAUAAGCACCGGCUAACUUCGUG
rnacentral:rRNA from 1 species